CCCUGCCUCCAAAAGAAACAAAAAC
rnacentral:piRNA from 1 species